rnacentral:rRNA from 1 species
UGGGGAUUAUUGCACAAUGGGCGAAAGCAUGAUGCAGCGCCGCCGCGUGGGGGAUGACGGCCUUCGGGUUGUAAACUUCUUUUGCCCUGAACAAGGCGCACCAUGGGGUGUGUUGAGUGUAGGGGUUGAUUCGCGCCGGCUAACUCCGUGCCAGCAGCCGCGGUAAUACGUAGGGCGCGGGCGUUGUCCGGAAUUAUUGGGCGUAAAGGGGUUGUAGGUGGUUGGUUGCGUCUGUCGUGAAAGCUCAUGGCUUAACUGUGGGUUUGCGGUGGGUACGGGCUGGCUGGAGUGCAGUAGGGGAGGCUGGAAUUCCUGGUGUAGCGGUGGAAUGAGCAGAUAUCAGGAGGAAUACCGGUGGCGAAGGAGGGUCUCUGGGCUGUUACUGACACUGAGGAGCGAAAGCAUGGGGAGCGAACAGG